ACAAACUAGGACCCCAACCCUGCAAAUGCUUGCCCAUGUGCUAUGGGGCAUACAAACCCCACACCAGGCACAAAGGGAUUAAAGAGCAACUAAGAGUUUAGGCAGCCCUGCACCUGCACAGCAUGUCAGGCUUGGAGGAGGAGCCUUAAAAGGGAAACCCCCCUCUUAGUGGGAAGGAGUAUAAAUCUCUCAUCCUCAGCUCCCAGAGGAAGAGUGUGGUUGAGGACAAAGAGUGGUUGUAGUUAGCUGGAGUUCCUUGAGCAGAAGGUUGUCCUCCUUCCAGAUCAAAAGACCUGACUUACAAAAGUUAGUCUCAAUUUAAGAAGCAGCAGCAAACUGCAAAAGUGUGUUCCUUCAAGACCAUCACAUUACCUGAGAUCCAAACUAGCAGGUAUCCCCUUUCUGUGGAAAAUACCCAAGGGAAAGGAAGACAAUGUGGAGAGGGUCUCUUUGUGGAGUUUUAUGCAAACCAUUCCUCUAGUGAUGAGAUGAGUUUCGGAAGGCACUGGUUUUGGAAACUUUGUCUCUUCUUAAGUAACCAUGGUGAAGGAGCCCUUCAUCUCUGGUCAGACUGGAACCAUCCUUCAGGGAAUACUAUUUCUCCAGUGCCUCCCUUGCAGGAGUCCAAUAUCAGCCCCCUCUCUCCGCCAUUUACCUAGAGGGAGGUGAUACAGCAUUGAGUUGCACCACUUUCUGCCUGAAACGCCACACAGGAACUCCUGGACUCAGCAGGGGAACGACAUGACAGUAAUUUUUUAAAGUGUCCCCCGCCCUUCACCGCAAGAAGAAGAUAGCUUAACAAACGUAUAGACUUGAUUAAAAAAUUUAAAACCAUAUGGCAACAAAAACGCAACUCUUCCUACGUAUCAGCAUGCCAAGGAAGGUCCUUGAGCUCUUGAAAUUCUCUUUCUUACCAUUAAAAAUGUAUCUGCUGCAUCAGUGCUUUUGAUCUUUGCAGACAUAGUUGAAGCAGACAAGGGGGGAGGAGCAGAAUGGAGGUGUAAGGCUGAGGUGUAAUCAAUCUUCUUUGCAGCCCUACAGUAACUGUUUGGAUACCUUGAAUGUUGUAUUUUUGUUAUUUCUGGGAAGACCUAUCUUUGGGUUAUAGAUUAAAAUCAGACAAGUGGAAUUUUUCAUACCAUGAGAAUUAGAGAAAAUUAAACCUGACAGUUCCUGAUAAAUCCUCUCAUAAAUAAAUUAGCUGCUGGUGGUAAUAUAAGUCCAGCCACCAUUUGAUUCCCAUUCUCGAGAAUAUAGAACAAGUUCUCUGUUUUUUAACUUGUCCUCCUCCUCAUUAUUAUUAUUAUUUUAUUAUUAUAUGCACAACAGUAAUUCCUGGAGGUCCCAAUGGAGAGUGGGGCCCCACUGUGCUAGACACACAGUAAAAUUUAUCUCAUAGAGCUUACAGUCUAAAGAGACAAGACAGAUGAAGAUGGGAGAAAGGAAAU